rnacentral:rRNA from 1 species
UUCUAGUAUAGCAAUUAUACAGCGAAACUGCGAAUGGCUCAUUAUAUAAGUUAUCGUUUAUUUGAUAGUACCUUACUACUUGGAUAACCGUGGUAAUUCUAGAGCUAAUACAUGCUAAAAAUCCCGACUUCGGAAGGGAUGUAUUUAUUAGAUUAAAAACCAAUGCCCUUCGGGGCUCACUGGUGAUUCAUAAUAACUUCUCGAAUCGCAUGGCCUUGCGCCGGCGAUGGUUCAUUCAAAUUUCUUCCCUAUCAACUUUCGAUGCUAGAGUAGUGUUCUAGCAUGGUUACAACGGGUAACGGAGGGUUAGGGCUCGACCCCGGAGAAGGAGCCUGAGAAACGGCUACUACAUCCAAGGAAGGCAGCAGGCGCGCAAAUUACCCAAUCCCGACACGGGGAGGUAGUGACGAUAAAUACUGAUACAGGGCUCUUUUGGGUCUUGUAAUUGGAAUGAGUACAAUUUAAAUCCCUUAACGAGGAACAAUUGGAGGGCAAGUCUGGUGCCAGCAGCCGCGGUAAUUCCAGCUCCAAUAGCGUAUAUUAAAGUUGUUGUGGUUAAAAAGCUCGUAGUAGAACCUUGGGUCUGGCUGACCGGUCCGCCUCACCGCGUGUACUGGUCCGGCCGGACUCCCACCAUAGUCUAACCGCAUGCCCUUCACUGGGGUGUGUUGGCGAAACUAUAUUUUUACUUUGAAAAAAUUAGAGUGCUCCAGGCAGGCCUAUGCUCGAAUACAUUAGCAUGGAAUAAUAGAAUAAGGACGUGUGGUUCUAUUUUGUUGGUUUCUAGGACCGCCGUAAUGAUUAAUAGGGACAGUCGGGGGCAUCAGUAUUCAAUUGUCAGAGGUGAAAUUCUUGGAUUUAUUGAAGACUAACUACUGCGAAAGCAUUUGCCAAGGAUGUUUUCAUUUAUCAGGAACGAAAGUAAGGGGAUCGAAGACGAUCAGAUACCGUCGUAGUCUUAACAUAAACUAUGCCGACUAGGGAUCGGACGAGGUAAUUUUUGACUCGUUCGGACCUUACAAAAAUCAAAGGGUUGG